CGAGGAGCCAGGAGGCCCCCGUGGUCUGAGCUGCUGCCGCUGCCCAAGCUACGCUUGGAUUCAGGAGGUUGCCUCCUAGCCGAUAGCCGAAGAGAGCGCCGUCCCCGGUCCCGCGGCACUGGUGCUGCUCGGUCCAGCAGGAGGUGAGAAGGGGAAGUGAGAAAAGAAAAGAGAAAUCAAGUUCCCUUCCCUCUGUGUGCCAUCCUCCUGCCAAGUUUUGCCUGCUGUUAAAGACAUCUCGAUCCUACAGAUAAGUAGACUGCAACCAAAAGAAGAACCAUGGAUUAGGAAGAUGGAGUCCAGGCUGAGAAGCCUCUCUGGAUGUA
rnacentral:lncRNA from 1 species